rnacentral:lncRNA from 10 species
CAUCUUGUGAGCAUCUGGGCCAAGUUCAGGGCUGGUGCUCUCGUUCAGAUAGAUUUAGCUGGUGGUGCAGAGAUCCGUGAGCUUGCUUUUACAGGACUUUAAUGAUAUAUAAAAGCAGCACGAGGUGCUCCUGACUGUGGAUUAAUUUGGAGAUGACUUUCUCUGUUGAAGAGUAGCAAGACUCUCGCGAGUUCUUAAAAAUGCACUUGUUUGGUAUGAGAAUGAAAAGCAGUGGCUGAAGAACCAAUCUUCAAUGGGCAAGCCUUCUCUGUGUCUGUUCUAACACGUGCCAUUUGGGAUCCCUUGGAAUCUUCAUGUACAGAACUGGUUGCUGCCUCGUUGAGUCGGUGGGGACAGAAUAGCUCCUGGUUGACAGCAUGGGUUGUGCAGAAGGACGGAUCCUGCAGACAUCAAUAUCUGGCUUUGAGUGGCACAAAGAAAUAAAGGAAUGUGGAUUCAGACCUCACUGGGAUGCUUGGCAAUUCUAAUUCUACCCCAGACUGCAAAUGGACACACAACUGUUGUGACUUUUGUUGAAGAGGAGAAGGAUGGUGAAGGUCUCUUUAGUCAAUAAUCUCUUUGCUGAAAUUGCUUCGGGCAGCACAGAAGCUGGAUUCAGAAGCACACAGGUCUGGGGAUGCAGGCUUCGGCCAGCCUGAUGCAAGGAAAGACUGCCAUCUCGUGGUCAGCUCAAUCCUGGCACCUUGGUGAGGGACCAGGCUGCAGAAAACCAGGCUUGGGGAGGAAACGGUGCUGCAAACUGGAUUUCUGCCGGACAGUGUGGAUGCCCUUAGAAAACACCCAGAAAAGAGCUGAGUGCCCCCCAAGACUUGCCCUGAAUUCUUUCAUGUGCAAUAUCCGAAAACCCUCUCUUGGGGCCUGGAUCAGGACCCCUUUCCUAUAACAUCUUUCUGGCGACAACAAAGGGACAAUGGUGUGGAAUCCCCCUUCCCAAAUGCUACUUUUAGAUAUCACCUUUUGUCGGAACUUGGAGUUGGUAAUGACCUUCACCAUACCACCACUCUGGGACUGAGCUUCUCUCUACCCUGAUGCAAGAGACCCUAAUAGGCAGGAAUAUGACCACCCCUAUUCAGCCUGAAGAAGUUACAGAAGUUCUGAAACCCUUAGAAAUGAGGGUCUUCUUGUAAAGGGAGUGGGGAGAUAUAUCAGAGGCAUUUGAACCAGAGCAACUCCAUCUUGAGUGAGGGCUAGGAAAAUGAGGCUAGGACUUGCUGGGCUGCAUUCUCAGAAAGUCAGUCAUUCCUAGCCUCUAGAUGUUUACGGUUAAGGGAACAAAUUUAUAACAUUUACUAAACACACCCAGACUUGGGAGUGUCCAGAUAUCCCAAUAUCUGGAGAACAAAGGCAUUCCUAAUUUUGCUUUAAAGACAAUAAUAUUGAUUCUUGCAAAAUAUAGUAAUUAAGAAAAUUAAUCCUUUAUCACAAACCCUUGUAGUAAAACACAUCUCCCCAUAUAUACAAGCAUUGUACCUAAGGUGGAUGCGUUCCAUCUCUUACUUUCAGGAAUGUCCUACACUAUCUAAGGAGUAGCUGUACUUUCACCACUUUACUUUCUUAAUAAACUUGUUU